rnacentral:lncRNA from 1 species
AUGGAUGCUGGUUGUAGCAGGGUAAUUGAAGUAGAUUUUUGGUGUUUUCUUGACAACAAUGGAAAACAAUAUGAUAACAAGAAUAUCAACAGGUUUUUGGGCUUUUUUUGCAGGUCUGUGCAAGGCUGGUCUGUGGGGCUUGUGGAUGGUUGGUGGAAGGUUGUUUUGACAGACUGUUGUAUGCAGGAAUUUGCCAGCAUGGGGCAGAGUUGGUGGACUGGUUUAAUAGCAUGUGUUUGGACUACUUUUUGA